UACCAGCUCCUCGAGUGGUCGGGGCGAUUAUUGGGCCUAAAGCAUCCGUAGCCUGUUCCGUAGGUCUUCUGUAAAAUCCAGCCGCUUAACGGUUGAUCCGCAGAAGAUACCGCGGGACUAGGAGGCGGGAGAGGCGGGCGGUAUUCCGCGUGUAGGGGUAAAAUCCUUUGAUCCGCGGAGGACCACCAGUGGCGAAGGCGGCCCGCCAGAACGCGCUCGACGGUGAGGGAUGAAAGCUGGGGGAGCGAACCGG
rnacentral:rRNA from 1 species